UGGGGAAUUUUGGACAAUGGGGGAAACCCUGAUCCAGCCAUCCCGCGUGUGCGAUGAAGGCCUUCGGGUUGUAAAGCACUUUUGGCAGGAAAGAAACGUCGCGGGUUAAUACCCCGCGAAACUGACGGUACCUGCAGAAUAAGCACCGGCUAACUACGUGCCAGCAGCCGCGGUAAUACGUAGGGUGCAAGCGUUAAUCGGAAUUACUGGGCGUAAAGCGUGCGCAGGCGGUUCGGAAAGAAAGAUGUGAAAUCCCAGAGCUUAACUUUGGAACUGCAUUUUUAACUACCGGGCUAGAGUGUGUCAGAGGGAGGUGGAAUUCCGCGUGUAGCAGUGAAAUGCGUAGAUAUGCGGAGGAACACCGAUGGCGAAGGCAGCCUCCUGGGAUAACACUGACGCUCAUGCACGAAAGCGUGGGGAGCAAACAGGAUUAGAUACCCUGGUAGUCCACGCCCUAAACGAUGUCAACUAGCUGUUGGGGCCUUCGGGCCUUGGUAGCGCAGCUAACGCGUGAAGUUGACCGCCUGGGGAGUACGGUCGCAAGAUUAAACUUAAAUGAAUUGACGGGGUCAUAGCUGUUUCCU
rnacentral:rRNA from 1 species